AUUGAACGCUGGCGGAAUGCUUUACACAUGCAAGUCGAACGGCAGCACGGGGGCAACCCUGGUGGCGAGUGGCGAACGGGUGAGUAAUACAUCGGAACGUGCCCAGUCGUGGGGGAUAACGUAGCGAAAGCUACGCUAAUACCGCAUACGAUCUACGGAUGAAAGCGGGGGAUCGCAAGACCUCGCGCGAUUGGAGCGGCCGAUGGCAGAUUAGGUAGUUGGUGGGGUAAAGGCUCACCAAGCCGACGAUCUGUAGCUGGUCUGAGAGGACGACCAGCCACACUGGGACUGAGACACGGCCCAGACUCCUACGGGAGGCAGCAGUGGGGAAUUUUGGGACAAUGGGCGCAAGCCUGAUCCAGCCAUUCCGCGUGCAGGAUGAAGGCCUUCGGGUU
rnacentral:rRNA from 1 species